rnacentral:rRNA from 1 species
UACGUAGGGGGCAAGCGUUGUCCGGAAUCAUUGGGCGUAAAGCGCGUGUAGGCGGCUUGGUAAGUCUGCUCUGAAAGCCCGGGGCUCAACCCUGGGAGGCGGGUGGAUACUGCCGAGCUCGAGUCCGGAAGAGGCGAGUGGAAUUCCUGGUGUAGCGGUGAAGUGCGCAGAUAUCAGGAGGAACACCGAUGGCGAAGGCAGCUCGCUGGGACGGUACUGACGCUGAGACGCGAAAGCGUGGGGAGCAAACAGG